rnacentral:rRNA from 1 species
CACGUAGGGUGCGAGCGUUGUCCGGAAUUAUUGGGCGUAAAGAGCUCGUAGGCGGUGUGUCGCGUCGGCCGUGAAAACCUGCAGCUUAACUGGAGAAGUGCCGUGGAUACUGCGAAUCUUGAGGAGGGUAGGGGCGUCUGGAACGGUCGGUGGAGCGGUGAAAUGCGUUGAUAUCGACCGGAACUCCGGUGGCGAAGGCGGCUCACUGGCCCGAUACUGACGCUGAGGCACGAAAGCGUGGGGAGCAAACAGG